UGAUGCCUACGGGGCGCAGCAGUGAGGAAUAUUGGUCAAUGGCCGCAGGGCUGAACCAGCCAAGUCGCGUGAGGGAUGACGGUCCUAUGGAUUGUAAACUUCUUUUGUCGGGGAACAAAGGGCGCCACGUGUGGCGUUGUGAGUGUACCCGAAGAAAAAGCAUCGGCUAACUCCGUGCCAGCAGCCGCGGUAAUACGGAGGAUGCGAGCGUUAUCCGGAUUUAUUGGGUUUAAAGGGUGCGUAGGCGGUCCGGAAAGUCAGCGGUAAAAGCCCGGGGCUCAACCCCGGCGAGCCGUUGAAACUGU
rnacentral:rRNA from 1 species